GGUUACUGCUAUCGAGGUUCGACUAAGCCAUGCGAGUCGGAUGUAGCAAUACAUGGCGUACUGCUCAGUAACACGUGGACAACCUACCCUUAGGCCUGGGAUAACCCCGGGAAACUGGGAAUAAUACCGGAUAUCUCGCGAAUGCUGGAAUGCGUCGCGAUAGAAAGCUCCGGCGCCUAAGGAUGGGUCUGCGGCCUAUCAGGUAGUAGUGGGUGUAACGUACCUACUAGCCUACGACGGGUACGGGUUGUGAGAGCAAGAGCCCGGAGAUGGAUUCUGAGACACGAAUCCAGGCCCUACGGGGUGCAGCAGGCGCGAAAACUUUACAAUGCUGGAAACAGCGAUAAGGGGACCUCGAGUGCCAGGAUACAAUCCUGGCUGUCGUAAUGCCUAAAAAGCAUUGCAUACAAGGGCCGGGCAAGACCGGUGCCAGCCGCCGCGGUAACACCGGCGGCUCGAGUGGUAACCGCUAUUAUUGGGUCUAAAGGGUCUGUAGCCGGCUGACUAAGUCUCUUGGGAAAUCUGGCAGCUUAACUGUCAGGCUUUCAGGAGAUACUGAUCGGCUCGAGACCGGGAGAGGUGAGAGGUACCUCAGGGGUAGGGGUGAAAUCUUGUAAUCCUUGAGGGACCACCAGUGGCGAAGGCGUCUCACCAGAACGGAUCUGACGGCAAGGGACGAAAGCUAGGGGCACGAACCGGAUUAGAUACCCGGGUAGUCCUAGCCGUAAACGAUACUCGCUAGGUGUCGGCCACGGUGCGACCGUGGUCGGUGCCGUAGGGAAGCCGUGAAGCGAGCCACCUGGGAAGUACGGCCGCAAGGCUGAAACUUAA
rnacentral:rRNA from 1 species